UGGGGAAUAUUGCGCAAUGGGGGGAACCCUGACGCAGCCAUGCCGCGUGAAUGAAGAAGGCCUUAGGGUUGUAAAGUUCUUUCGGUAUUGAGGAAGGUUGAUGUGCUAAUAGCACAUCAAAUUGACGUUAAAUACAGAAGAAGCACCGGCUAACUCCGUGCCAGCAGCCGCGGUAAUACGGAGGGUGCGAGCGUUAAUCGGAAUAACUGGGCGUAAAGGGCACGCAGGCGGUUAUUUAAGUGAGGUGUGAAAGCCCCGGGCUUAACCUGGGAAUUGCAUUUCAGACUGGGUAACUAGAGUACUUUAAGGAGGGGUAGAAUUCCACGUGUAGCGGUGAAAUGCGUAGAGAUGUGGAGGAAUACCGAAGGCGAAGGCAGCCCCUUGGGAAUGUACUGACGCUCAUGUGCGAAAGCGUGGGGAGCAAACAGGAUUAGAUACCCUGGUAGUCCACGCUGUAAACGCUGUCGAUUUGGGGGUUGGGGUUUAACUCUGGCGCCCGUAGCUAACGUGAUAAAUCGACCGCCUGGGGAGUACGGCCGCAAGGUUA
rnacentral:rRNA from 1 species